AAUACCAGAAGGCAAGGAUCAUAAAGAUCAUCUUAGAACCUCCCCACUGUACUGGUCAUUUGGCCAGUCAUUCAAAAAGAGAAAGGGACAGCUUAGAGACCAAGGAAAUCAAAUAGCUUUUAGGCAAAUAGCUUAUUUCCAAAGAAAGGAUUAAGUCCAGACACUUGGAGGAGGUGCAUGAGACAAACCUUACCAAGCAGAUGGAGUAUCCCUGCUUUGUUAGAGGUCUCAAAACAAUUGAUACUUUUUAAUAAGGUGAUUUGUUGAAAAUCAUCAACACCAAGAGAUCAUUUUAAUAAUAAGGGUACACAUUUGUAUAAAAACCACUAUAAAAACAUACCAGCCAUCUGCCCUUGGGCUUUGAAUACUUGUAUUAUAUUUCUUUUCUAGAUUUGGUUCCCUAUCUGGCAUUUACAUUGAAGAAAUACCAAGUAUCUCCUAUAUGCCAGAAACUAAGAAAACAAAGCUACAGUUACAUAUGCAUACUAAGCCUUUGGAGUGUGGGGAGUCAGGAUCAUGAGGUAGUGGAACUGUAUUCAACGGUGAAGUAGGAUGUUUCUGUUGGAAGAAGCUACAGGAAAGUUCAGAGACAGCAGACAGACUUGAUAAGCAGUCCCUCUAACAAUUGUGACAGAGGACUACUUUGGCAUAGUGUUACUGUACAAUACUAAUCACCAAAAACAUCAGGAAAUGUUAUCCUAACCCUGAAAAUAUUCACUAAAACUACAGCAUGAAAACGUAUCUGGCCACAGCAAGCUGCAUUCCCAAAUAGUUCCACUUGCUUCUAUUUUCAUCUGGUAUGUAUACUAUGUUUAUUAUAAUAGAUGAAAUGUCUUAAGUAGCAGUGGGCUAGAGAACUGUAUCUAACUCUAAGGAAUGUAUAAGUGACAAUAAGACACUUUUUCUUUUUACUUAAGAAAGAACUUAUCUGGUUCAGUGGUAAAAAUCUGUCGCAUCCUGGCUAACAUGGUGAAACCCUGUCUCUAGUAAAAAUACAAAAAAAUUAGCCUGGCGUGGUGGAGGGCGCCUGUAGUCCCAGCUACUUGGGAGGCUGAGGCAGGACAAUGGCGUGAACCUGGGAGGUGGAGCUUGCAGUGAGCCAAGAUCACACCGCUGCACUCCAGCCUGGGUGACAGAGCACGACUCCGUCUGGAAAAAAAAAAAAGAAAUCUGUCCCAAGGUGAAUACCUUUUCACCUUUUUAAUAUUCUAGAAAAUAUUCUG
rnacentral:lncRNA from 1 species